rnacentral:SRP_RNA from 1 species
UGCUAGGCUCGACCGGGACGUUCGGCGCGUCCUUAUACACCGCGACGUCGAUAGCGGGGGUGACAGGAAAGGACGUCGUAACCGGAGAGGUGCGGGCCCUGUCGGUGACCAUGAGGCUCUGUCCCAUGGGGUUGGAAGAGUCAUAGAGGUGCGAUCGGAGGGUCGCGCGCUAUGUCAUAGUCAUGGGGAGCGGGUCAGGCCCUGACGGGAGCAGCCUUACCAUGAAUUACCAACGCUCAGGGGGUAGCGGGGCUGAGAAACUUGCAGGAUAACCUUCAUCAAUUCGAGCGGCAACCUUUCUAGCCUAGCA